GACCUGGCCUGCCGUGUGGUGUGAAAUGCAGAUAUUUCCCCAGUUGUCUGGAGAUCAAUGGUGGAUCCCCAAGUUUGAGGGUUCCCACAUUGAUCUAAUGAAUAGAACUCAUCGCAUAGAUGAUUUUGAGAAUUGGCCAGAGGGAUGGGUGUGCCCAGCUUGUAACCAUUUGUAUGAGCCAUGCACUUACACUCAUGACCCCAGUCAUUGUAGGUGGGAACCCUGGUGGUUACAAGAGACCCUCACAUAUGACUUAAGGAAUGGGACAGCUUGCGUGUUUUCUUCCAACCUGAAUCAGUGGAAUGGGGAUGAGGUCUCCUCACCCCCUGUGUGUGAAUGCCACCAUCAGGUGAUGAUUAUUACUGACCUCCAUACCAAGGAGAGCGUCCCCUUCCUUAAUGUCUCAUAUGAGGCCAUACAGUUGUGGAAAUGAGUUU